UACGUAGGGUGCGAGCGUUGACCGGAAUUAUUGGGCGUAAAGAGCUUGUAGGCGGUUUGUCGCGUCUGACGUGAAAGCCCAGGGCUUAACCCUGGGUCUGCGGUGGGUACGGGCAGACUAGAGUGUGGUAGGGGAGACUGGAAUUCCUGGUGUAGCGGUGAAAUGCGCAGAUAUCAGGAGGAACACCGAUGGCGAAGGCAGGUCUCUGGGCCACUACUGACGCUCAGAAGCGAAAGCAUGGGGAGCAAACAGG
rnacentral:rRNA from 1 species